AGGGGAUGCCUCCGUGCUGCAAUGGCAGUAAAAACAAUUGCUACUGAAACACCACCCACGUUUCCUCUUUUGCUGGACACGGCUCCCUAUUAAAGUGUGUACAUGGCGUCGGGGAGGGGCACGCUCAAGAAACAGCAAGAACCACACUUCCUAGAGGCCACCCAGCCUCCACAUUCUGUUCAAUCAGCAUUCCCUUGACAUAUGGCUCACCAGGGCCACUCCCGGCCAGAACUCCGCCAGAGCAUCUGAUGGGACCACUGCACCCGCUGUUUGCCAACAGCAAAGUUGGACAGAGCUGCUGUCCUCAAGGCCCCUCGACAAGGAAGUCCUCCUGGAUGCCCAGCUCUGGAGUCAUCUCUGUGGUAUACUAGGAUUCCAGUUCCAACUUUCUCUGGAACCAGUUGGGUCAUCACAGGUCACGAGAGCAGAUGCCUACAGAGAGUGAGGAGAGGCGGGACCUGCCACAAACUGCAAGCUUGCAGGUGAAGAUGGCUGUCCAGCUGCGAUGCUCUCACACCCAGGACCCACAAUCGAAAGAACCAAGGACGUGAGAUCACAGUUAGAGCCUGCUGUGUAAGUCGUGUUUCCCCCAACGACUGGGACCUCCUGGCCAGCAGGGAGAGGCCUGAGUCAUCUCCGGGUCCUCUGCCCCUGGCCAAAGCAAAGACCAAAGCCCUGGCCACACAGACCUGGGGCAGGGCAAAUGAGAAAAUCAAAGGGGUGGGUGUUCACCCUCUGGGGAAGUGAGGCAGAAAUUGGGGGUCCCAGGGCAGAGAUGAUCAACAGCCUGAGAGGGGGCUCUCAGGCAGGCCCUGGAGAGAGGCCGCUGAGCUCAGACAGCAUGGGAGGAUCAGGGCCUUGCUGGAGAGGAGGGACUGGGGAGGGGUUCCGGUU